GGGGAAUUUUGGACAAUGGGGGCAACCCUGAUCCAGCCAUUCCGCGUGAGUGAAGAAGGCCUUCGGGUUGUAAAGCUCUUUUGUCCGGAACGAAACGGUGGACGUGAAUAUCGUCCGCUACUGACGGUACCGGAAGAAUAAGCACCGGCUAACUACGUGCCAGCAGCCGCGGUAAUACGUAGGGGGCUAGCGUUGUUCGGAAUUACUGGGCGUAAAGCGCGCGCAGGCGGUUCUUCAAGUCAGAGGUGAAAGCCCAGAGCUCAACUCUGGAAUGGCCUUUGAGACUAGAGAACUAGGGUACGGGAGAGGUGAGUGGAAUUCCGAGUGUAGAGGUGAAAUUCGUAGAUAUUCGGAAGAACACCAGUGGCGAAGGCGGUUCACUGGCCCGUUACCGACGCUCAGGCGCGACAGCGUGGGGAGCAAA
rnacentral:rRNA from 1 species